rnacentral:lncRNA from 1 species
UAAAAACAGCAAAAUUUCCUUAAAAUUACCAUUUCAGGGGCAGCAACCCAACAACGAAAUGUCCGAUUCAUCUGAAAAUUUCAGGGCAGAUAGAUCUUGACCUGAUGAACAAUAUUACCCCACGUCAGAUUUGCUCUAAAUGCUUUGGUUUUUUGAGUUAUAAGCCAAAAACUGCAUUUUACCCCUAUGUUCUAUUUUUAGCCAUGGCGGC